GAGAUGUGCACAUAGAAUUCUUAGGAAAGUUAAGUCCUUUAAUAAAGAUGUCAAGAACAUCCAGGAAGAAUCAAAACAACCUUCCUCACCCACACUGAGAAUUGAUAAUCA